rnacentral:rRNA from 1 species
UUUUGGACAAUGGGGGAUACCCUGAUCCAGCUAUCUCGCGCGUAUGAUGAAGGUCUUCGGGUUGUAAAGUACUAUUUGCAGAGAAGACAAGGUAUCUCCUAAUACGAGAUACUUCUGCAGGUAUAUGGUGAAUAAGCAAGUGAUAACUACGUGCCAGAAGCUGCGGUAAUACGUAGGGUGCAAGCGUUAAUCGGAAUUAAUGGGCGUAAAGGGUGCGCAAGCGGUUUAUCAAGAAAGGUGUGAAAUCCCCGGGCUUAACCUGGGAAUGGCACUUUUAACUGAUAGGCUAGAGUAUGUCAGAGGGGGGUAGAGUUCCACGUGUAGCAGUGAAAUGCGUAGAUAUGUGGAGGAAUACCGAUGGCGAAGGCAGCCCCCUGGGAUAAUACUGACGCUCAGACACGAAAGCGUGGGGAGCAAACAG